CUGGAGGUAUCAGAAGUGCGAAUGCUGACAUAAGUAACGAUAAAGCGGGUGAAAAGCCCGCUCGCCGGAAGACCAAGGGUUCCUGUCCAACGUUAAUCGGGGCAGGGUGAGUCGACCCCUAAGGCGAGGCCGAAAGGCGUAGUCGAUGGGAAACGGGUUAAUAUUCCCGUACUUGGUGUUACUGCGAAGGGGGGACGGAGAAGGCUAUGUUGGCCGGGCGACGGUUGUCCCGGUUUAAGCGUGUAGGUGUGUGUUCCAGGUAAAUCCGGUUCACUUUAACACUGAGGCGUGACGACGAGGCACUACGGUGCUGAAGCAACAAAUGCCCUGCUUCCAGGAAAAGCCUCUAAGCAUCAGGUAACAUCAAAUCGUACCCCAAACCGACACAGGUGGUCAGGUAGAGAAUACCAAGGCGCUUGAGAGAACUCGGGUGAAGGAACUAGGCAAAAUGGUGCCGUAACUUCGGGAGAAGGCACGCUGACACGUAGGUGAAGUGAUUUACUCACGGAGCUGAAGUCAGUCGAAGAUACC
rnacentral:rRNA from 1 species